GACGAACGCUGGCGGCGUGCUUAACACAUGCAAGUCGAACGGCGACGGGGUCUGCUCUUGUGCUCCCUGGUUGAGUGACGAACGGGUGUGUAACACGUGUGUAACCUGCCCCCUUCUUCUGGAUAACCGUAUGAAAGCUUGGCUAAUACGCGAUUUUCUGGUUCUGUUGCAUGCUGGGUCUGUGCAAGCUUUGGCCUUUGGGUUUUUUUGGUGGGGGAUGGGCUCGCUGCCUAUCUGCUUGCUGGUGGGGUGAUGGCCUACCAAGGAGGUGACGGGUAGCCGGCAUGAGAGGGUGGACGGUCAGAAUGGGACUGAGACACGGCCCAGAAUGCGACGGGGGGCAGCAGUGGAGAAGAUUGCGCGAUGGGCGCAAGCCUGAUGCAGCGACGCCGCGGGAGAGAUGGAGGCGUUCGGGUUGUAAACCUCUUGCGCCAGAGAAGCAGGCCUGCUACUUGUGGGUGGGUUGACGGUAGCUGGAGAAGAAGCGCCGGCUAACUACGUG
rnacentral:rRNA from 1 species